rnacentral:lncRNA from 1 species
AAGUUCAACAUUUUGAUUGCGAAGAUGUUAUUAUUCAUCACAUGGAAACUAUCAUUUUAAAAUAUAAAACGACAACUAAUUCGAAAAGACAAAGAUAAGACAUUAUUUUCUUUAAACCUAGUCAUCAAUUGUCAACAUAGUUUCAUAACAUCAAAGCUAAACAUGCAAAAAAUACAGCAGAUCAAAAUAAUUUAAGACACAUGCUAAAUAACUAAUCAUAAAGUCUUCCGUUGUCAUGUAUGCGCCUCUCUUCACAAAAACAGACCUUAAUCUUGAAACCCUCAUUCAAUAUGUACCAAAAUAUGAGACUUCUAGAGUUCAUUAUAAGAAAUCAGUUCUGCCAUGCCAAUUCAGGUAAACCACCUGCAAAUCCAGUCAAUUCCUUGCAACAAAAAGUAUUUCUUGAUUCCCAAGAAAACUUUACAUCUUAACCUAUGACCUCAAUUGUAUCAACUUCAUUGUCACUGUAAUCUCCCCAACAUUUGUUUGGAUUUACCUCAUCUACUAUGUCCUUGCUGGUUACUCCAUCCUCAAUUGAGUGACUGUGGUCUAUAUCAUUUUCUUCUAGUUUAGGACAACAAUUUUCAUUGCUAACAAGUGGGCCUUGUUGAGGAUUUUGCUCCUCUGAAUACUUUUCACAACUGACAGGUUCAAUAACUUCCUCAUCAAAAACUUUUUCAUUUUGAACAUUGUUCUUAACUUGUGCCGAAUCAUUUGAAGUAGUUGCAGAUGUUGGAGACUCAUUUUGGUUCACUUGGGUAUCAUUUAGCGAUUCCGGAGGAAUACCAUCAUUGGGAGAGACUGGAGAGAAACCAUUAGGAGAUACUGGAUUAUCAUCUGGAGAUGCUAUAUAUCCAUUAGGAGGCACCCAUGUUUGACCAGGUACAAACUCUAUGGCAUGUGGAUUCAUUAUUGUAGGAGGGCUGUUGGGGUUUCCAUCACUAGAUUGCUCACCUGAGGGAAAUAUAAUUUUACCUCGUGGAAUGCGGUUUCCAUAAUGUCUAUUAUAGCCACCAGAAAUCCGUGGACCGUAUGGAACCCUAGUUGUUGCUGACUGAUGCAGAGAUCUUCGUGGAAGCAAAGGAGCAAUAUUUACUGGUGGGGGCAAAAUACCUACAUGAUCAUUGAAACCUGGAACUGGAACAGACCCGAAAAUUGGAAUUGUGGAUGGAUUAAAUGGUGGUGCAGCUGCUGAAAGUUUCUUAGUUGGUUCUUUUCCAGUUUCUAUUUCUUCUUGUUUUUGCUCUUCAGAUGGUUGGGAAAAGUCAAGUUGUUUCUCAUCUCCCUCAGUAAUCACCCCUUUUGAUACAGAGGCAUCAUCCCCGUUUAACUGUAUUUUACUUUCAUCUGAAAUGGUUAGGGGAGUUGCUUGUGCUUCUAUCUCUGAUGAACCUUUGGAGGUAGCGUUGAUUGUAUUGUUUAAACAAGUAGAUUUCUCAACCUCCUUUUCUAUCAUGUUUCCAACUUCAACAUUUUUCUCUAUCACACCAUCACUAUUGGGUUCCUGGGAUUUUUUGACAUCGUUACCUUUUAAUGUUUCUGUAACAUCUGCCACCACAUCAAUUUUCUUUUCUUUUUCUUCUACACGGAGAGAUUCUUGCUGUUUUUCACCAACUGAAUUCUGAUCAUUAUCAUUGAUAUCAUCUGAGGUUCCCACAUUACUAUGAAUCUCCUUUGUUGCAAUUAUUUUGGGGCUCACCUCGGAGUUUUGUUCAACAGUGGGAUUUCCGGUUGGUGGCUGUUCAGCCACAGCCUUAACAAUUGUUCCAGGUGGGGCUAAGGCAACUUCUUUGUAAGAAAAUAACUUACUUGUUGAUUGAAGACUGAUACCACCGCUAACAGAAGCUGGUUUAGCAAUUUGAUUGCUUAGAGCUGGGCUGACUGGAGCUGACUUUGUGUCUGCUAACUUCUCUACUCCCGCAGUAGGGGUGUUAGAGUUAGAGCCAUUCAGUUUAGGACUGAAGCUUGGGCUCUUGACAAACUUCUUUGGAACAGCCAGGGAGGGUCCCGCAAGAGUCUCCUUUAAAUUUGAUCUUGGAGAAGAAAUGUUUGCAGGCUUUCCUCGAUACCUUGAAGAUUGGGAAUUAUUCAUGAAGUUAGUAUUCAGUUUUGCUAGGGUAGGUCUCCUUGAUGAAGAUGACUUGCGUCCAAUGAGUGAACGACCUUUGGGAACAGCCUCCUGCCAUCCUUCAUCUGAGAUGUCAUCCGGUGCCAGUUUAUUACUUUCAUUGAGAGUGGUUUGAUCUAUGUCAGUGGACUCAACUUUAUCAAUCUUUAGUUCUUGAAAUUGAGCUUCAGAUUUAUUUUCCUUAUCACUUGAAGUCUCUCUGAUUGAAUCAUUCGGAGAUAUGUCUCCCUCGUUGUGAUUUACAUCUGUAGCAAUAUCCCAAAUUUGGUCUGGUUUUUCUUUCAACUGUAACAUGAAUUAUAAGUAAGUUUCUUUCCUUGAGAGAUGGCAAAAAAAUAUUAUAAGUAAUAAAUAAAAUACAAGCAAUUAGAGGAAUAUCCUGUAUCAGAGAAGUUAUUUAUCACCUUGGCACGGGCCUUUUUUUGUGCUUCUCUGGCUUUCAGAUCAGCCUCAGGUGUUAUGUAAUCCAAGAGGUCAGACACACUGAUAUAAGACAUUUUGAUUGUUUAAACCACUAAUUAAUAGGUAGAAUCAUUAAACCACUAAAGUGCAUUGUUUAGAACAUGAACGGAUGUGUUUAAAUGAGCAAAAGGCCAUCAAUUUGCAACAGAGGGAAUGAUUUAAGCAUAAUUUGUUUUAAUUGUUAUUACUACCUUAAAUGACCCUUGCUGGAGAUAGAGGCAUCUGGCUUAGGUGUACCAUUCCGUGCAGCUUCCUGUUGUUCGAGAGCCUUGGACUCGAAAUAUUCAAGCCAAGCAGCUGCAUCCUGUAACAUAUUCACAUCUAUGUGCCUGAGAAACAAGGAUAGCUGCUUACAUAUAUCUACCAUGAAAGAGCAUAUACAAGAGUACGUACCUGAGUCCUUAGAUCAUCAGACCCAAGUUUGGCCUGCAAUAUCUGGAGAGUUGUCUGUUCAUGCUGAACGCUUAGAGAGUACGCCUCCAUCAAAGAAAGAGCAAUGGCUAUUGCAUGAUAGCUGGCUGCCGUCUGAACAAGCCAAAGUUUUGAUAAUAAGUUAUAAGUUCCUACUAAUCCCAAUGGGAUGCAUAUUCAGGAAGACACUGAACAAUGCUAUAAGAAAUUCCAUUCCUUAACAUUUGAAAAAUAAUUAUCGAUAGAACUCAGAAUGCUGCUUAGUUUCAUGAAUCUCAAUUUUUAUGUGUAGUGCAAUUCUUCAUAUCAUCGACGAUAAAUCUCAUAAAAUAGCGACUAGUAAAUUUAUUUCUUCAGGCUAAGAGUAAGAGGGACCUGUAUAUGAUCAGCUCCAAGUAAUCUUUUGUUACAUUUUAAAGCCUCGUGAAGGUAUCUCAGGGCAACAUGGACAUUCCCUAAUCCUUCUUCCAUCAUUGCUACAUUGAUGUAGGUGGCAGCGGUGUUUGGAUGUGAAGGUCCACAAGUUAGGUGCAGAAGAUACAACGCUCGAUUAACAUACCUAAAUACAUAUACACACAAAUUUAACAAAACAUAACUGAUUAGCUUAAAACAUGUAAGGUUCAUCUGAUUAGUUUAAAAUUUUUGCAAGACUUUCUAUUAUUAGAAAUAGAAAAGCUCGCAUAGGAAGGGGGGAUUAGUUUUCAUAUGAAGAACAUGAAAGGACAUACAAUUGAUAUAGUAAUCAACUAUUAAAAGUAGGAUAUUGAAAGCAUACUUUAAAGCCAACUCGGUAUGUUGAAGUCGAUAAUAGAAAACAGCAAGAUCCCCGUAACUUUUCAUUGUAUCAGGAUGGUCCAGUCCAAGCUCUCUUUCAUUAAUAUCUAGUGCUUUUUGCUGGUAGAUAGUUGCCUAAGGAAACCGCACAUAAAUCAUUAUAAUGACAUGAACUCAAAUUUUUCAAACCAAAUUCGCAUGUGCUCUAAUAUAAUUUAAAGCAUACAAAGCGCUUUUAGUUUUCACCAUAACACAUACUUGAUUGAAAUCACCAGUAUGGUAUAGCACAACCGCCAAUAGACUAUAAGCUCCUGCUGUCAUUCUAUGGUAAGGCCCGCACACUGAUACCAACUUUGAAAGUGCCUUCAAGAUUCAAUUCAAAAUGUUGGUAAUUUAGUUCCUGUCAACAUGAACAAGUGUUUCUGCAAGAUGGGAUAAUUUAUUCAUACCUUUGUGCCAUAGUUGACAGAAUCCUCCAAUUUACCUUUAUCCAAAGAAGUCUUUGAUGAUUCCAACAGGGUUCGACCAUCAGCAGAAGAACAAGCAACAUGCUAUGAAAAUUGCAAUUUAGACAAUAUGGAUUAAGAAAAGUAUAGUCAACUUUCCACAUAACAAAACUAAUUUGUAGUGUAUUUCACCUUGUAUAUGGGGACCAUGCUUACAAUAUCUGACUUUCGAAAAGGAGAUGCUGUUUCCAUUUCAUAGUCCCUUGGAACCAGUUCAAGUCCAACCUUAAAAACGAUUUUCCAAGUUAAAAUACUAAUAGCAGAAAACAGUCAAUAUCAUCAGUCCUUUUAUUUUACCUUAUGGCAAAGUCCACGAAGAAUAGCAAACUUUCUUAAAUCUUUACCGCUUUCGUGAUUCCACUUCCAUCCAAACCUCUUCAAAAGGAAGAUUUCUACCCACUUCCAUUUCAGUUCAUCACAACUAGUAAUAUCAACAUCAUUAGUUUCAAAUGACGGUGUUCCCAACAAUAUAUUUAAGCACGAUGCUAUAGAUGAAGCCAUUUCAGAAUCAUUAUCAACAGCUGCAACAACAGCUUGCAAGAUGUGCUUGUAGGCUCGAACAACCAUCUCAUGUAUACAAAGUGAUUGCACAUGAGGAAGUUUAUCAGCAAGUUCAACCUGCAACAGAAGUUGAAUAAAUAUUAUAUCGGUGAAAUCGUCUAUAUACUUAUGGAAACAUUCAAUACAGAGUUCAAAACACAUUGCACAUAGGAAAUAGACAAUUAUUAGAACAUUACCACUCGUCCUAAAGAAGACAUUUGCAAGCCCCUGGUAUGCAUGAAAUCAGUCAAUGUUCUUCCAUCAACAGGUGAAAGUUCAAGGGAUCCAAAAUCUGCCACCUAAGAAUUUGAAGUCACAAUAACUAAACAAGUUCCAGAAUAACUUGGUUUAAAAACAUACUCAAAAUUAUGAAACUAACCAGCUUUGGAAGUGCGACAUCAUCAUAAUAUUUAUGCGCCAUCUCCAUCAACUCAUCAGGUGACUGCAAAGAUGGGGAACCAACAAAAUUCUUAUAUAAAAGUAUAGAUAUUGGGCAAAUGAGAGCAUAUUAUAACGAUAUUAGUUGAAAUUAGAAAAUUAAGGAAACAUGUUAAGCACAGUCCAAUGCAAUAUCAACCAUGUCAGGAAGCAGGUAUGAACCUUGAGAUGAAAAUCAGUUUUAGAUUCCUUAAGGCGUGAAUAUGCGGCAUCAGGAAGUAGUUUUCUCCAUAUAGUUUCCUUUUCUUCAGACUGUCUUUCAAAUUCCUGUUGAGUAGCAUCAGGCUUGUUUGUGUCAAUACCAUUCCCUUGUUCGACUUUAGAGUUCCUUGUGUCAAUCUUUUUCUUCAAUUCCUUUAGUAAUCCACCUUGCUUGCCAAGUCCUUUUACAGAUGGUUCAAGCUUAGUUUCUUCAGCCUUUUUUGGCUCAGUUUUCUCUGUAGCUUGAUUUUGCAAAUGUUGUACCCAACAUGCCCCAAGCUCCCAUCUGAUAGAUUUGCUUUGUAUAGUGUCCUCUUCCU